AUAUAUAUAUAUAUCUUUAUAUAUUAAAAGUGGCUAUCUAACGGCAAUUCUUGGUUUAACGGAAUCUUUUAAACUUUUUCUGUUAACUUUAACGGAGGACAACUCUUCCGUUAAUUAAUUUUUUAAUAACUAAUAAUCGUUAUUCUUUUCUUAUGUGUCAAACACACCAUCAGAUGCAACUCUUUUCUUUCUUUCUCAUCCCCACUUACGAAGCAGAAUAGAGGUUGAUGAGAAUCGAAACAAAUAAGAACGAAGGCCGGGCUCAAUCGACUCCCCCAAAAGGAUCACGAGCAAGGCUUCGAGACUGCCUACGAUGGCAAGUUUAGAGGUAGCAAUGACGACGACCACCACCAUCGUAAACAAACAGAGGAGCAGAAUCACACUCCCGAUUGAAUCAACAGGAAGAACAAGUUGUCUUUUUAGAUAAAGAAAUAGGUGGUUUGAGAGAUGAGACUGUUCAAAUUGAGAAAGAGAUUAACAGAGUUGGAGAUUCCAUGUCUAGCAAGAUGAACAUUCUUCAAAACAAGGCUGAUGAUAUUGGAAAUGUAGCAGGGCUUUCAUUGGAAAAACAAAAGGAAGUUCUUAAAGGGCAAUCUGUCAAUUUCAGUCUAAAGCUCUAGAAGAGAGCAGGUAUAGCAUUAUCACUAUUCAUUUCAUCAAAUAUUGUUUCUUUUACUCUUAAAAUACAUAAUUGUUUCAUACUGUAAUCUAAAUUGCAGGGCAGUUUUGCAGCAGUUGGCUAAUUUCGGUCAUGAACAACAGGAAGAGCUUCUUCAGCGACAGGAAAAGCUUCAACAAGCACAUGAUCAUCUGGUCGAGAAUUCCAAGUCCAUGUUGGCUGCUCAGGUGGAAUUGCAGAAAACAUGAGCUUUAUUUUGAGACAAUUAAUUGAUCUUACUCAGUUGGGUACUUAGAAAUAUGAAACUAAGACACCUGUUGGAUAUACAAGUAUCAAGAUGAUGGGUAUUUUUUUCACCUGUACAAUUUUUGGACUUGGAAGGGUCGUAAGAUUCAUUAUGUUGUACAAGGUGAAGGCUCACCGGUUGUUCUCAUUCAUGGUUUUGGUGCUUCUGCAUAUCAUUGGAGAUAUUACAUACCAGAGUUGGCUAAAAAACACAAGGUUUAUGCCAUAGAUUUGCUUGGAUUUGGGUGGAGUGAGAAGGCAAUUAUAGAAUAUGGUAUGGAAGGACCAGGUGGUGGAUUUCUUGCAGGAGAUUGUGAAAGAGCCAGCAGUUUUAGUUGGAAACAGGUAGUAUUACUAAUAAUCUACAAUAAAAUGGCUAGGUUCUCUAAUUACUUUGGGAUGAACUUGCCUUCCAAAUCACCAUUUUGUUUGCUUUAUUAUUUGUGUAAUUUUCAAAAUGUGUUCUUAUAUUUCCCGUAUGAUGUUAUGGAAGUAUCGUCACUAAUUUUGUUGCACCGAUUUUUUAAUUCAGAAAAAACUAAAGACGAAUUGAAAUUUCAGUGCUUAAAUCGAAAACAUUUUAUCGCU